UACAGAGGGUGCAAGCAUUAAUCGGAUUUAUUGGGCGUAAAGGGCGCGUAGGCGGAUGUGUAAGUCAGAUGUGAAAUCCCGGGGCUCAACCCCGGAACAGCAUUUGAAACUGCAUAUCUUGAGGGUAGGCGGAGAAAACGGAAUUCCACGUGUAGCGGUGAAAUGCGUAGAUAUGUGGAAGAACACCGGUGGCGAAGGCGGUUUUCUAGCUUAUUCCUGACGCUGAGGCGCGAAAGCAAGGGGAUCAAAC
rnacentral:rRNA from 1 species